UUUUCCAUGAGCAUUUAAGAAAAAAUAAAAAAGUAUUUCUUUUAUUAUUUUAAUCAAUUUAAUAUCAGUGAAUGGCAGCUCACUGCCUUGUUUCAAUCUUAUUGCAAUUUUAGUGGGUUUUGGGGGUGAAAUUUAAAAUAUUCACCCAGAUUUUCCUUUAGUACCCCUAACACACAGUCUCAGGAAUGAUUGACCACUGGGACUCAGCUACUUGGCCUUACAGGGAUCAGAACUAAUUGAAGUAACCUGUGACUAAUCCAUAUUAUGGAAGAAGGCAAGCAGGCACCAGAGAAAGUAGGUGGGAAGCUGAUGGGUAGUACCCAAAGGCCUGUUUCGUCUUUUUUGAACUCAGCAAAGAUGAACUGUUUGAUGUUAAUGCAAGAAAGAAAACAGAGUGAUAUGAGAGUAAAUGAAAGCUUUGGGGGAAAAAAAGUUAGACGUACUUACGGGGCCACCUAGCUAAACGUGUGAAUGGCAGUGACAGUCUGGGACAGUUUGGCAGUAUGCAUCUCAUCAGCCUCUGUUGGACAAUUAGUUUCAUCAGAAGACAGUUCUGUUGCUAAAAGCACAAUCCAGACCUCUUUGAAAUAACUGGAAAAGCUGCCAUAGGUUUUGGAUCAGACCCCCUAAUGCAAGCUGGAUGCAAGAAAAGCUGCUAAAUUCAGCUGGUGUUCUUUUCAUACAGAUAAAAGAUAAGCUCUUACUCAAGCUGUGAACUCCCAGGGGGAGAAAAAUGAAUAGAAGAGUUGUUCAAACACAACAGGCUUGAUUGUGCCUGACCCCGUGUGGGUGUGAGGGAAAUGGGAGCCAAGUGCAAAUAAGCUUUCCUGUCUCCCUCCUGAGAGUCUACCCCAGGCUAGACAUGGUUGUGCUCCCUGAGAUCAGGGAGCCCGGGGGCUAGCACAGAAAAUGAUGCCUGUAGCAGGGAAGAAGAAAGGGAUGUCAGGAAGUGGAACCGUUUAGCCCCAUUGGCACAUUGUGAAUCCUUUAAAGUGGGGCAGCUGCCUCUGCACAGAGGGUGGCGCCAGCAUCAAUAAAUCUGUUCAAAUAGUCA
rnacentral:lncRNA from 1 species